CAAGAGGGAACGCAGAGUGAUGAGUGCUCCUCAAUGAGGGCAGGCAAAGCUUUGUGACAGAAGGUAUGAGAAACAAUGGAGAAGAAUACAUCAAUCAUAUUGACUACAAAGCUGCAAGACAGGUUAUCAACCUGGAGGAGACAAAAUCUACCCUCCCAAUAACAAGUCUCCAGGCUCACCUGCCUCUAAUGACAUCACACAAGAUCAAAUGUGCGCUCUUCAUUUUGCAACCAUGAAAAAGGUUUGUGUAUUUGUGCUGACUAGUGGAAAAG